GACAAUUUUGAUGUCUCUAUGAUGCAGGGAGGUUCUUCAGAAAGGCAGGAAGAAGAUAGUUUUCUCAACAUGAAACAAGCAAUGUUCUAAGGGCUCUAAGGAUAGGUACAUGAGAAAAAAAAAGAAACAGUCUUAUCAUUUAGGGCAUUGAUUGAUCUACCAAAUCUAAGACUUUUUUUUUUAUUGAAGUAUGUGUUUGAUCUUCUUAUUUUGUUUAGUUUUAUUCUCUCUAUUUAUGAUUUGCUUAUUUCCAUGUUCCAGCUUCACCAUUCUUUCACCAACUAACCAAUCCAUAUUUGUUCCAAGUCUGGCUUACCACAAUCCCAGCUUCAGCUCAAGUGCACAUUUUUCUUCUAUAUGAGGCUUUAUGUACACUGAAAAUCUGAGACUGGAAUUGUUUAGAAUUCUAUAUUUCUGAAAGAAGCUCUUGAUUCCCAAUUAUGAUUUCAGAUGAUGAUGAUGAUG